AUUGAACGCUGGCGGCAUGCCUUACACAUGCAAGUCGAACGGCAGCACGGGUGCUUGCACCUGGUGGCGAGUGGCGAACGGGUGAGUAAUACAUCGGAACAUGUCCUGUAGUGGGGGUUAGCCCGGCGAAAGCCGGAUUAAUACCGCAUACGAUCUACGGAGGAAAGCGGGGGACCUUCGGGCCUCGCGCUAUGGGGUUGGCGGAUGGCUGAUUAGCUAGUUGGUGGGGUAAAGGCCUACCAAGGCGACGAUCAGUAGCUGGUCUGAGAGGACGACCAGCCACACUGGGACUGAGACACGGCCCAGACUCCUACGGGAGGCAGCAGUGGGGAAUUUUGGACAAUGGGCGAAAGCCUGAUCCAGCAAUGCCGCGUGUGUGAAGAAGGCCUUCGGGUUGUAAAGCACUUUUGUCCGGAAAGAAAUCCUUGGCCCUAAUACGGUCGGGGGAUGACGGUACCGGAAGAAUAAGCACCGGCUAACUACGUG
rnacentral:rRNA from 1 species